GCAGUCGAGCGAAUGAAGAGGAGCUUGCUCCUCUGAUUUAGCGGCGGACGGGUGAGUAACACGUGGGUAAUCUGCCUGUAAGACGGGGAUAACUCCGGGAAACCGGGGCUAAUACCGGAUAAUAAGAAGAAACGCAUGUUUCUUUUUUGAAAGUCGGUUUCGGCUGACACUUACAGAUGAGCCCGCGGCGCAUUAGCUAGUUGGUGAGGUAACGGCUCACCAAGGCGACGAUGCGUAGCCGACCUGAGAGGGUGAUCGGCCACACUGGGACUGAGACACGGCCCAGACUCCUACGGGAGGCAGCAGUAGGGAAUCUUCGGCAAUGGGCGAAAGCCUGACCGAGCAACGCCGCGUGAGCGAUGAAGGCCUUCGGGUCGUAAAGCUCUGUUGUUAGAGAAGAACAAGUACGAGAGUAACUGCUCGUACCUUGACGGUACCUAACCAGAAAGCCACGGCUAACUACGUGCCAGCAGCCGCGGUAAUACGUAGGUGGCAAGCGUUAUCCGGAAUUAUUGGGCGUAAAGCGCGCGCAGGCGGUCUCUUAAGUCUGAUGUGAAAGCCCACGGCUCAACCGUGGAGGGUCAUUGGAAACUGGGAGACUUGAGUGCAGGAGAGAAAAGUGGAAUUCCACGUGUAGCGGUGAAAUGCGUAGAGAUGUGGAGGAACACCAGUGGCGAAAGCGGCUUUUUGGCCUGUAACUGACGCUGAGCGCGAAA
rnacentral:rRNA from 1 species